AGCCUUAGGAAAAAAUCUUAGGUUAUACCUGCCCAAUGUAAGAUAUAAUUAAUGGCCGCGGUACUUUGACCGUGCUAAGGUAGCGCAAUCAAUUGACUCUUAAUUGGGGUCAGGAAUGAAUGGAGUGUACGUGGUUUAGCUGUCUCCUAAUCAAUUAGUUGAAAUUACUAUUUAGGUGAAAAAGCCUAGAGAAAGAAAAAGGACGAGAAGACCCUUAGAGUUUUACUUAAAAUGAACAUUGCAGUAGAGAGAUGUGUUCAGACUGGUUUUGUUGGGGCAACAUAGGAGCAUAAAUUAGAAACAAUCUCCUAAAUUAUAUUAACCGAUUUUACUAAAUUUGAAUAAACUACCUUAGGGAUAACAGCAUAAUUUUAAAAAUAAGUUUGUGACCUCGAUGUUGGACUAGGAAACUUGAAGGCUAGCCGUCUUCAAGGAAAGUUCUGUUCGAACUAUUAUUCCU
rnacentral:rRNA from 1 species